ACUCGGCCCGGCGAGUCCCGCUCGGCUCCUUUUUAAUAUCCACUUGGAGGAGCUUCCCUGAGCCUCUUGGAAGCCAGCUCAGCGUCAGAUUCCUGGCGACGUCCACCGCCGCUCAUUCCCCAGCUCCCCGACGCCACGGCUUCCUCUGGUCCCGGCGUCUGAGCAGCCGGGUCCUGGGCGGCCUCGCCUGCCCUCAGCGGCUGCCCGGCGGCCUCACCCCGACCCAGCUCGGCCGGAAGGAAGGAGGGCGGCCGCACCCCAGACGGCCGUGCAGGAGCACCUGCCCGAGCAGCCCACGCAGCAGCUGCCGUGGCCGGUGCCCCGAGUCCGCGGUGGCAGAGGCGGCGCCCCGCCCAGCGCCCGGGAGAGCGGGACAGACUUCCUGGAAGAUUCCUACCACAGCAUGAGUCACAGAGCUGGAGGACACCCCAAAGGCAGCUGCACGGGACAGAAGGUGGGACCGUGUCUCAGCCAAGGGGAGCCGGGCUCAGGCGCUGUGGUGAGCUGCACGACGGCCCCGUGAUGUCACAUCCCUGGAACCCGGAGCCUCACGUGGAGAAAGAAUCGCUGCAGAUGGACUUAGCGAAGGACCCUGAGAGGGGACACGAUCCUGGAUUGCAGGUGGACCCUCAAUGCAUCCCAUGGACCCACAUAAGAGGGAGGCGGAGGGAGACCUGACAGCCAGGCAGUGGAAGGGGUGCGAGACAGAGCAGAGACGGGACCAUGGGAAGAUGCUGGCCUUGGAGCCCAGAGGGAGGCGGCCACCAGCCAAGGGGUGCCGGCAGCCCCCAGAGCGGGAGGAGGCCGGGAACGGACUCCUUAGAACAGUGGUUCUCAACCUUCUGGCCCUUUAAAUACAGUUCCUCGUGUUGUGACCCAACCAUAACAUUAUUUUCGCUGCUACUUCAUAACGGUAAUGUUGCUACUGUUAUGAAUCGUCAUGUACGUAUCUGAUAUGCAGGAUGGUCUUAGGCGACCCCUGUGAAAGGGUCGUUCAACCGCCAAAGGGGUCGUGACCCACAGGUUGAGAACCGCUGCCUUAGAGCCUGCGGAGGGAGCGCGGCCUCCAGCGCCGUGAGACGACACGACGCCCCCAGCGUGUGGACAUGCGUUAGCGCAGCCACAGGACAGCCACGCGUGGGAGCCAUGGACUGAAGAGCCGACGUCCCCCGUGUGACGUUUCCUGCUGACGACCGUUCCUUCUAGACUCAACGUUAAACCAGUUAGUAAGUCACGUAGCAACGGGAACCGUGGGAACUUCUUGGGUUACUUCAUCUCUUUUCUGAUUUUAAAAAACCUUCCUUAUUGGUUUCUCUGAUUAUAAAGGUAACAUGUUCUUUGUAUUAAAUUCAGAAACUGCAGAA